rnacentral:ncRNA from 2 species
AAACUUAUAUAAACGAUAGGUGCCCAGAAGGGUUAAAAGGGAAUUAGGUUAAGCCUAAGCGGUCUCGCCACUGUAACCAGUAUCAACUUACCAAUUUGUAUUUAGUAAAGGUCAGUAAGCACUGGAAGCCAGGAACCUGCCUGUAGUUAGUAACAAAC